rnacentral:lncRNA from 1 species
UCAAAACAUACCAAUAGAUAUAAAACAAUUAGAAUAAAAGAUUAGAGUAUACUUGAUGAAAGCAACAUGACAAGGAUUCAUCCAUCACCCUUUGCCAAAAGGACUUUAGCCUUCCAUUAAAAACAUCAACAUCCCUCCCUUACUCACUCUCUAUUUUUUUUUCUUCUUUUUAUUUUCGGAAACAGGGCAUCCCCUGUUUCCUUUCU